UACAGAGACUGCAAGCGUUAUUCGGAUUCACUGGGCGUAAAGGGUGCGCAGGCGGCCAAGUGUGUGAGGCGUGAAAGCCCGGGGCUUAACCCCGGAAUUGCACCUCAAACUACAUGGCUAGAGCAUUGGAGAGGGUAGCAGAAUUCAUGGUGUAGCAGUGAAAUGCGUAGAUAUCAUGAGGAAUACCAGAGGCGAAGGCGGCUACCUGGACAAUUGCUGACGCUCAGGCACGAAAGUGUGGGGAGCGAACAGG
rnacentral:rRNA from 1 species